rnacentral:rRNA from 1 species
AUUGAACGCUGGCGGCAGGCCUAACACAUGCAAGUCGAGCGAGCGGCGGACGGGUGAGUAAUGUCUGGGAAACUGCCUGAUGGAGGGGGAUAACUACUGGAAACGGUAGCUAAUACUGCAUACCAUCAGAUGUGCCCAGAUGGGAUUAGCUAGUAGGUGGGGUAACGGCUUACCUAGGCGACGAUCCCUAGCUGGGCUGAGAGGAUGACCAGCCACACUGGAACUGAGACACGGUCCAGACUCCUACGGGAGGAAGCAGUGGGGAAUAUUACACAAUGGGCGCAAGCCUGAGACAGCCAUGCCGCGUGUGUGAAGAAGGCCUUCGGGUUGUAAAGCACUUUCAGCGGGGAAGCGUUACCCGCAGAGGAAGCACCGGCUAACUCCGUGCCAGCAGCCGCGGUAAUUC